UUUCCGUAGGUGAACCUGCGGAAGGAUCAUUAAAAAUUAGGUGACUGUAAUUUAGGUUACCCAUUAUAAUAUCCUACCUUGUGAAUUUGUUUGUUAUGUAAAUUUUUGUCUAUCCCUAAAGAAAGGUUGGAUAAGUGUAAUGCUUAAAAAACUUUUUUUUAGGGAAUGGCUUAAGACUUUUAUUUAAAAUUAAACUUUUGUAUUCAUUUGUCUAAAAUUAAUUUUUAAAUAAAUAAUUUAAAACAACUUUUGACAAUGGAUCUCUUGGUUCUCGCAACGAUGAAGAACGCAGCAAAAUGCGAUAAGUAAUGUGAAUUGCAGAAUACGUGAAUCAUCAAAUCUUCGAACGCAUAUUGCACUUUUUUAGUUACUAAAAAGUAUGUCUGUUUGAGUAUCAGGUAAAUAUCUCAUAAAUCAUUUGAUUUUAUGGUUAUGAGUGUUUUACAACGAUAAACAAGUUGUUUCACUUUAAAUGGAUUUUAUUGAAAUCGUCGGUUGGACGAUUUUAAUUUUUUUUAAAAAAUUGGAUAAAAUUUCCCGUAAAAGGAUAAGCUAUUUCAGUUUCUUAGAAUUUAAUAGUUUCCUACCGGUACAGUUAAGGAAAUUAUUUAUAAUAACUUGAUCUCAAAUCAGAUAAGAGUACCCGCUGAACUUAAGCAUAUCAAUAACGGAGAAAAGAAACUAACAAGGAUUCCCUUAGUAACGGCGAGUGAAGCGGGAAGAGCUCAAAUUUGAAAUCUUCAAGGUUCUACCUGACGAAUUGUGUUUAAAGAAGUGUUUUCUGUUAGAGGAGUGGCAAAAGUUCUUUGGAAUAGGACAUCAUAGAGGGUGAGAAUCCCGUAUUUGGUCAUUCUUUCUAGCUGUGUGAUACACUUUCAAAGAGUCGGAUUGUUUGGAAUGCAGUCCAAAUGGGUGGUAAAUUUCAUCUAAAGCUAAAAUUGGCGAGAGACGAUAGCGAACAAGUACCGUGAGGAAAGAUGAAAAGAACUUUGAAAAGAGAGUUAAACAGUACGUGAAUUGUCGAAAGGGAAGCGUUUGACCAGUGUGUUUUUCCGAAAAUCAAUUGUGCCUGCUGGAUUUUGUAGGAGUUUGACCUUAUCAGCUUCUUCUGCUUUUUCCGGUCUGGUGCAAUGCACUUUUCGGUUAACAAGUCAACAUCAAUUUCUUUUGUUGUAAAAGGUAAUUGGAAGGUGGCUUCUUUUCGGAGAAAGUGUUUAUAGCCUUUUACCUCUACAAUCGGAGAGAUUGAGGUCUGCAGCGUAGAUCCUUCGGUUAGAUCAUUUGUGCUAAGUUAUAGCCCUGUAUAGACAACUUGUUGACUAUACUCGGUCAUGUAGCUUACUCGUUAUGCUAUUU
rnacentral:misc_RNA from 1 species